rnacentral:misc_RNA from 1 species
UCCUCUUUACAGAGGCAGUUUCGUUCGAGUCCCCGACUUUACUCGCUGGUAACAAACGAUGAGGGUUGCGCUCGUUGCGGGACUUAACCCAACAUUUCACAACACGAGCUGACGACAGCCAUGCACCACCUGUGUAACACCCUCGAAGGCGACGUCUUUUCGGACGCUUGCAGUUACAUGUCAAGCCCUGGUAAGGUUCUUCGCGUUGCAUCGAAUUAAGCCACAUGCUCCACCGCUUGUGCGGUCCCCCGCCAAUUCCUUUGAGUUUCAACCUUGCGGCCGUAGUCCCCAGGCGGUUCACUUAAUGCGUUAGCUGCGGCACCGGAGGUUACCCCCCGACACCUAGUGAACAUCGUUUACAGCGUGGACUAC